rnacentral:rRNA from 1 species
GACGAACGCUGGCGGCGUGCUUAACACAUGCAAGUCGAACGAUGAAGCCCAGCUUGCUGGGUGGAUUAGUGGCGAACGGGUGAGUAACACGUGGGCAACCUGCCCCAAACUCUGGGAUAACUCCUCGAAAGAGGUGCUAAUACCGGAUACGAACUAGACAGACAUCUGUACUAGUUGGAAAGUUUUUCGGUUUGGGAUGGGCCCGCGGCCUAUCAGCUUGUUGGUGAGGUAACGGCUCACCAAUGCUACGACGGGUAACCGGCCUGAGAGGGCGACCGGUCACACUGGGACGGAGACACGGCCCAGACUCCUACGGGAGGCAGCAGUGGAGAAUAUUGCGCAAUGGGCGAAAGACUGACGCAGCGACGCCGCGUGAGGGAUGAAGGUCUUCGGAUCGUAAACCUCUUUCAGUAGGGACGAAGCGAAAGUGACGGUACCUAAAGAAGAAGCACCGGCUAACUACGUGCCAGCAGCCGCCGUAA